rnacentral:sRNA from 1 species
CAGCCCAGGAGACAGGAUAUGUACAUCGACGAAGUAGUUGUUGCAGGAGUCCUGAUUGUUGGACUUUGCGUCGUGUUCUGCGCCGGAUUUGGAUAUUUCAUCUGGAAAGAUGCCAAGAAAACCAAAGCGAACUGAUCUUUCCAGUUUCAAGAGCACGCAAGGCAUUUAGGGCGACUUCGGUCGCCCCUUUUUUU